rnacentral:piRNA from 1 species
UGAGGACUUCAGGUUGCCGGCUCCUCA